AGAGUUUGAUUAUGGCUCAGGAUGAACGCUGGCGGCGUGCUUAACACAUGCAAGUCGAACGGAGUUUUAAACGGAAGUUUUCGGAUGGAAGUUUAGAAACUUAGUGGCGGACGGGUGAGUAACGCGUGGGUAACCUGCCUCAUACAGGGGGAUAACAGUUAGAAAUGACUGCUAACACCGCAUAAUAUAGCGAAACCGCAUGAUUUUGCUAUCAAAUAUUUAUAGGUAUGAGAUGGGCCCGCGUCUGAUUAGCUAGUUGGUGGGGUAAAAGCCUACCAAGGCGACGAUCAGUAGCCGGCUUGAGAGAGUGACCGGCCACAUUGGGACUGAGACACGGCCCAAACUCCUACGGGAGGCAGCAGUGGGGAAUAUUGGACAAUGGGGGAAACCCUGAUCCAGCGAACCGCCGCGUGAGUGAAGAAGUAUUUCGGUAUGUAAAGCUCUAUCAGCAGGGAAGAUAAUGACAGUACCUGACUAAGAAGCCCCGGCUAACUACGUGCCAGCAGCCGC
rnacentral:rRNA from 1 species